rnacentral:rRNA from 1 species
CCUACGGGAGGCAGCAGUGGGGAAUAUUGCGCAAUGGGCGAAAGCCUGACGCAGCGACGCCGCGUGAGGGAUGAAGGUCUUCGGAUCGUAAACCUCUGUCAGCAGGGAAGAACGGUCACUGUGCUAAUCAGCAGUGAAUUGACGGUACCUGCAAAGGAAGCACCGGCUAACUCCGUGCCAGCAGCCGCGGUAAUACGGAGGGUGCGAGCGUUAAUCGGAAUUACUGGGCGUAAAGCGCUCGUAGGCGGUAUGUCAAGUCAAGGGUGAAAUCCCCGCGCUCAACGUGGGAACUGCAUUUGAAACUGGCAGACUGGAGUGUGUGAGAGGAUGGUGGAAUUCGAGGUGUAGGAGUGAAAUCCGUAGAUAUCUGGAGGAACAUCGGUGGCGAAGGCGACUAUCUGGCACAUAACUGACGCUGAGGAGCGAAAGCGUGGGUAGCAAACAGGAUUAGAUACCCGUGUAGUC